UACGGAGGGGGCAAGCGUUGUCCGGAUUUAUUGGGCGUAAAGAGCGUGUAGGCGGCCUGGAAGGUCAGCUGUGAAAACUCGAGGCUCAACCUCGAGACGUCGGUUGAAACCACCUGGCUAGAGUCCGGAAGAGGAGAGUGGAAUUCCCGGUGUAGCGGUGAAAUGCGCAGAUAUCGGGAAGAACACCCGUGGCGAAGGCGGCUCUCUGGGACGGUACUGACGCUGAGACGCGAAAGCGUGGGGAGCGAACAGG
rnacentral:rRNA from 1 species